UGUUCAUUUCGGGUUGUUUAAUUUUUGAUGUAAUUUUGGUUCUAACUUUCUGAUUGAUUCAAAAAUAAAGUUUACAAUAAACUGUAAAACGUAAUUAUUUCUGUGCGCAUUGUUGCAGAAUUUUGUGUUACCAUACAUAUUGUGAGAUAGAGAAAUGCGAUGACAAUCAACACUGGCUUUCCAAAUCAACCCACAAUUCGAUGGUUAUUGCGGAUUCAUGAUGACCGAAAUUAUUUUAGGGGUGAAGAGGCACCUAACGCAAAGAGGACAAGCCAAAACUCAAAGAAGCCGGACUCCUCUUACAAAGAACCUCCCUAAAAUUUUUUGGGAAAAAGGUAUAAACAGGUCUACAUUUCAAUUACUGGAUGAGCUUCAAUAUUGAGAAUCAUGGGAUCUGCAACACCAUUGAAACUUUGGAACUUAGCGAUCCACCAUCUUCGUAGAGUGCAGGAAAAAGCUCUUGAAGAAAAUAAUGUGAGAGCAGCGAGAUUUUCUUGCUCAAGAGAGAGCAACCAGAGAGAAAGGAGCAUUUGGAGGUCUAAGAAGUGUUAAAACGGUGCUAAUAGAAUCAACAAUUCGAAAAGAUUCAAUUUUUGUUACUAAAGCCAUUGUUUCCAGAGUUGAGGAAGCAAAACACGUCCAUGGUGCGACACAACUCAUAAUUAUACAGGUUGAUGCAUUUAUUAAUCUUUGAAACAAGGGAGAUCCUGCAACCACGGGUGAGAAGGCUGCUGGAGUAGCUUCUCAAAAUAUAUCAGGUGCGGAAAAUAUUGGGUGAGUAUUAAAAAUAUACUAGAGCUUGACAUGAAUUAUAUGUGAGCUAUAAGAUGCUCAAGAAAGAUGAUCAUGUCCUGGCAUGGUGUACCUAUAGAAAAUUAUGGAACAGGUAGAUAUGUGUCUGCUUUAACUUUUACGUAUUAAAAAUCUCAAUUUGGUAGUGGGGGAAGGCAAUUUGAGCUUAAGGCUAUGAGAUGGUAAUUGACAGAUUGGUUACUCUUUAGUUCUUCAUUUAUUCUUUCUUUGUUCGUUCUUAUAUGAUUGCAUGAGGUCAAGGAUCAAAAAAUUAACGAAGUUCUAAGUCUACAAUGUUAUAGCAGCCUUUGAGGUUGUAUAUUACAAUGGUGUUGAGAUGCAAUGUCAGGUAUUCAUCCCGAUACUGGAUUGAUCCCCUUCCCUUCAUGUAGUAAGAGAAUCUAUCACCUACGAUUUCAGUCUUUAAUGGUUUAAACCUUCAUUGCGGAAGAAUAUACACCUGUUAGUUAAGUUUUCAAUGGCAUCCUCAUCCUAUCAUUUAAUCUUUUAUUUUUUUUAGAAAUGUGCACCAACUCUUUGAUGCGGCAUCUUAUUCAGGUUAGGUUUAAUUCGAGAUUUAUACUUAUGAUUGGAUUUUAGAAUGUGGAAGUUGUUUAUUUUGUUACCCAGGGAUUUGUGGGAGUUGUUUAUUUUGUUACCCAGGGAUGGAGUUGUUUAUUUUGUUACCCAGGGAUGUCUAAAUUUACUUAUUUGAGCUUAUAAAAUCGUGGGGCAAGUUAAUGAACUAAAAUAUUUUUACAGGAAAUCAGUGUGAUGGGUGGCCUUGGAUACAGCUGGGAACUUCAGAAAUUCAGUCAGUCAUGGAUAUGACCAUAUACUGUGAACCUAUUCUUUAAAGUUACGAAUCACGUAUAUGGAAUGACGAAGGAUUUUCGACGCCGGUGCAGUACAUGUACAUGGGGGGCUAGGGAUACAUGUGGGAGUUAUACGGUAAUGCCAUGGCUACGGCGUGGAUAUGCCUGGGGAAUUAAAGAUCGAUAUCAAUUUUCUAUUAGAAUACUGCCUGGCGAAGGAUAUCUAGAUUACUGCCUGCCGAAUUAAAGACGAUAUCAAAUUUUUAUUAGAUUAUUGUGUAAUUUCAAGUCUUUAACUUACAAAACCAUUUUUCUAGGACACUAUACUAAAGUACUGCUGAAUUUGAUGAGACCGCGAUAUUUCAAUGUGGAAA